AUUGCAGCAAACAGAGAACCGCAAAUGGAAGCUGAAGAUGAGACGAGAAAUAUCUACAGGAAUGUCUGAGUAAAUCCGACAGUCUACAGAAACAAAUUUCCCAAAAGGAGAAACAGCUGGUACAACUGGAAACUGAUUUGAAGAUUGAGAAGGAAUGGAGGCAGACUUUGCAGGAAGAUCUUCAAAAGGAGAAAGAUGCCUUAUCUCAUCUUAGAAAUGAGACCCAACAAAUCAUUAGUCUUAAAAAAGAGUUCCUUAACCUCCAGGAUGAAAAUCAGCAGUU